rnacentral:rRNA from 1 species
AUUGAACGCUGGCGGCAGGCCUAACACAUGCAAGUCGAACGAGUGGCGGACGGGUGAGUAAUGUCUGAGAAACUGCCUGAUGGGGGGGGAUCACUACUGAAAACGGUCGCUUAUACCGCAAUACCUCAGAUGUGCCCCGAUGGGAGGCGCUAGUUGGUGGGGUAACGGCUCACCAAGGCGACGAUCCCUAGCUGGUCUGAGAGGAUGACCAGCCACACUGGAACUGAGACACUGCCCAGACUCCUACGGGAGGCAGCAGUGGGGAAUAUUGCACAAUGGGCGCAAGCCUGAUGCAGCCAUGCCGCGUGUAUUAAGAAGGCCUUCGGGUUGUAAAGUACUUUCAGCGGGGAGGCGUUACCCGCAGAAGAAGCACCGGCUAACUCCGUGCCAGCAGCCGCGGUAAUAC